AUACGUAGGUGGCAAGCGUUGUCCGGAUUUAUUGGGCGUAAAGCGAGUGCAGGCGGUCUUUUAAGUCUGAUGUGAAAGCCCUCGGCUUAACCGAAGAAGGGCAUCGGAAACUGGGAGACUUGAGUGCAGAAGAGGAGAGUGGAACUCCAUGUGUAGCGGUGAAAUGCGUAGAUAUAUGGAAGAACACCAGUGGCGAAGGCAGCUCUCUGGUCUGUAACUGACGCUGAGGCUCGAAAGCGUGGGUGGC
rnacentral:rRNA from 1 species